UCUGAUUUUCGUCCCGUGAGAACACGUAUCCCGCGUGACACGUUGCCAAUUACGAACAUCCUCCGCUCUCGAGGCGUACGCAGACCGUAAAUAACACAGUAUUUCCAGUUAGAACGUGUAACCAGCGCGAACUACUUUUUUUUCCUCUCUCCAACGAUCUCGCCGCCUUGGAAACUUAUCGUUCAACUUAUCUCGCGAUCGAUCCUGCGAUAAUCGCGCGAUAAUAUCGUUCCGAGUAUCGCUGAACGUUAGUCGUUCUCGAGAUCGGCGUUCGAAAACUUUUACGCCGAGCAUUUCGCGUUUUACGUGACUCGGUCUUUCAUUUUCUUUUUUUCUUUUUUUUGUUUUUUCUUGUUGUUUACACAUGGUGCGCGUGAUACGUGUUUAUCGCGAGAUGUUGAUGACGCGUUCGAGGACACCGUUCGAGCGAUUGUUGCCCUAACCUCUUCGAUCACACGAGAAAAUACAUGACAUACGUAUAUACGUGUACACGUAUAUCGGUGUGCGUUGUUCUGAUCUCGCAGCGCACGUUAAUCGCGUUAACGUGAUUAGAAUUUGUCCAGCCUUUGUUUAGAGGCGGCCUCUGACUAGAAACGAGAGCGCGUGAUUGAUUCGUACGUGAACGACCGUUAUGUAAAUCCACCGUUAGCCAACGCAUUUGCCGGGGGAAAAUUGAAAUUGAUUGGAAAAAUGCGUUCGUGCUGUUUGAACGAUAUUGAACUUGCACAUCUAUAGCUUGUAUCA